rnacentral:rRNA from 1 species
AUUGAACGCUGGCGGCAGGCCUAACACAUGCAAGUCGAACGAGUGGCGGACGGGUGAGUCAUGUCUGGGAAACUGCCUGAUGGAGGGGGAUAACUACUGGACACGGUAGCUAAUACCGCAUACCAUCGGAUGUGCCCCGAGUGGAGUAGCUGGUCGGUGUGGUAAAGGCUCACCUAGGCGACGAUCCCUAGCUGGUCUGAGAGGAAUACCUGCAACACUGUAACUGAGACACGGUCCAGACUCCUACGGGAUGCAGCAGUGGGGAAUAUUGCACAAUGGGUGCAAGCCUGAUGCAGCCAUGCCGCGUGUAUGAAGAAGGCUUUCGGGUUGUAAAGUCCUUUCAGCGGGGAGGCGUUACCCGCAGAAGAAGCACCGGCUAACUCCGUGCCAGCCGCCGCGGUAAUUC